rnacentral:rRNA from 1 species
AUACGUAGGGGGCAAGCGUUAUCCGGAUUUACUGGGUGUAAAGGGAGCGUAGACGGCGAUGCAAGUCUGAAGUGAAAACCCGGGGCUCAACCCCGUGGACUGCUUUGGAAACUGUGUUGCUGGAGUGCAGGAGAGGUGAGUGGAAUUCCUAGUGUAGCGGUGAAAUGCGUAGAUAUUAGGAGGAACACCAGUGGCGAAGGGGGCUCACUGGACUGUAACUGACGUUGAGGCUCGAAAGCGUGGGGAGCAAACAGGAUUAGAUCCCCUGGUAGUCCACGCCGUAAACGAUGAAUGCUAGGUGUCGGGGGGCAAAGCCCUUCGGUGCCGCCGCUAACGCAUUAAGCAUUCCACCUGGGGAGUACGUUCGCAAGAAUGAAACUCAAAGGAAUUGACGGGG